UAAUUUCCAUCUUCAUUUGUUAACCUCAAAUUAAAGGAAAAAAAGUACAUAUUAUUGUUUUAUUUUCCCACACCAUUGAAGCUUCUGCUUUCUGCUGGAGCCUAUGGAUGAUUUCAAUUGAUCUUCACAUUUCACAACCUCAAAGGAGCUUGAGUAUUUAUAUUUGAGGAAACCUGUGAGGGAUUAAAAACCUAUACAUGGUAUAAAUUAGAACCCUAUUGUGUUCUAGCAUAUAUAUAAGACAAAAAAGAUAAAUUAAGUUUCAUUCUACAAUAUCAGGAGUUUGACUCCCUUAUUAGAGUAAGGAAUGUAUUUUAUAUAUAUAAUAGGUAAACUAUAAAUUUAUAAUAAUAAUAAUAAUAAUAGAUCUGCACUUUAUCUUAUGUAUGUCAAUAGAAAUUAAAAGCAUGAAAUGAACUACUUUCUCGAAGAGAUAGAACUCAUUGUUAGAAUUCUCAAAGAGUUAAACAAACCAGAUUGUUUAUCAGUUUGCUUCUUGUGCAUACAGAUUCCAAACCCUAAUAGAACAGUUUGGUAAAUGAAUUCAAAAUUAGGUGCACAAAAAUUAAGCAUGGUUUUUUUUACAUACAAUUUUUCAUAUAAAACAUCAUAUGCUAAGAAUAAACUAUAUAUUGCAUCUCAACCAUGAGAUCACCUCACCUGGUGGUAGGAUUUUUGUCAAAGCUUUAAACUGAGAGUAUAAGAUCCAAAUUCAUUAAUUAAUUAUUAGAGUCAAUAUUCAUAAUUGUGAAAAUAGCUUCUGCAUCUAGACACACACAUGUCUUUCAUACAUAAAUUAAUCUUAAUUUUAAAUUGUGGUCGCAAUUAUGCUAUAAUUGCAUCAUAUUAUGGAAAAUCACAGUCAAAUACAACUAAUGCCUGCAUUAAUUUGCUCACAAAGACAUAAAAAAACAUGGAUGUUAAGGCCACAACGGCGCUGGCGUUCACAUACCAUUUUUACAAAACUUGGCAGACCUAAAUCAGAAAUGAUUUUCAUGAAACUGAUCAGAUCAGCCUAAAAAGUACCCCAUAUAUAUAAAGAAUGAUAUAUGAUAUGAAAAGAAAAUGUAGCUGAGAUGCAUAAUAUGAGAUAUGAUGCAUAAACAGAUAUGCAUAGUAUUAGAAAACAAUAUAAUUAAAGGGAUUGAAUUGAAUUAAAGAAAAAGAUGGUGAUGGGGUGACAGAUAGAGAGUGAGCACACAUAGCUUCGAGAAUGAAACAUCAUACACGAAAGUACCAUGUGUGCUCACUCUCUUCUGUCACCUCCCUUACUCUCGAUUGAAUCUGAUAUGCGUCCAUCACCCUUCCUUAAGCUUGGAAGUAUUGCAUCAAACUAUGCUAACCCUUAUAAAUUAUUUCUGAAAUAGGGGAUGGAGGGUUAGGAGGAAAAGAAAAUAACAAACAAACCAUAUCUCUGUAAAUUCUACAACAAAGAAGCUAAGUGUUCCUUUUCUAUGGAACAAAUGAGAAACUUGUUGUUGUCUGAGGAGAUGAAGAAGGAUACAAGGGUUUAUAUAGAGCCCAAAAGGAUAAAAUAAUUGAUUGCAUCAUGUAUAAGUAUGGAAGGAAUAAAUGUGGGGUAUGUCUUCCAUUGCCAUUUUAAUUAUAAUUUACUGUCAAAG
rnacentral:lncRNA from 1 species